rnacentral:rRNA from 1 species
UGGGGAAUAUUGCACAAUGGGCGAAAGCCUGAUGCAGCGACGCCGCGUGAGGGAUGACGGCCUUCGGGUUGUAAACCUCUUUCAGUAGGGAACAAGGCCAGUGUUUAGUUGGUUGAGGGUACCUGCAGAAGAAGCGCCGGCUAACUACGUGCCAGCAGCCGCGGUAAUACGUAGGGCGCAAGCGUUAUCCGGAAUUAUUGGGCGUAAAGAGCUCGUAGGCGGUUUGUCGCGUCUGCCGUGAAAGUCCGGGGCUCAACUCCGGAUCUGCGGUGGGUACGGGCAGACUAGAGUGAUGUAGGGGAGACUGGAAUUCCUGGUGUAGCGGUGAAAUGCGCAGAUAUCAGGAGGAACACCGAUGGCGAAGGCAGGUCUCUGGGCAUUAACUGACGCUGAGGAGCGAAAGCAUGGGGAGCGAACA